UAUCACAAAAUCAACUAAACAUUCUAAACUGCCACCAACUAAACCACCAUAACCACCUCCAAUCCACCAGAACCUCAGAGCAUCGCAAACAGCACUGGAUAGCAACUAGAUCGUGACCAAACUUUCCCCAUAUCGCAACCAACAAAACUCUGGCCAAAACCACACACCUCCACAAAUUUGCAGAUCGGUCGACGACGAGAGCUACCCUGGUGCUCCCCACAUUUCCAUUCCACUUGGAUCUGCUAAGCAACAUAUCAGAGGGAAAAAAUCAUUUGGGAUCAUUUAUAAACAGAUAAUGGACGACAGACGCCAAGUCAACGCCACCGUACAUCAACACCAACACCAAGUCGUUGAUGCACACCAACACCACAGAUCGGUCGGCAACGCUGCAACGAACUCCGUCACAGAUCCACGAUAGCCAUAGAUCGACGCCGUGAAUGGUUAGCUCAGUGCCAUAUUUGAUUUCUAAUCUUAUAUUUCUAGGUGAUUAGUUCAUUAUCAAUUGGGCCGGCUGGGGAGGGUGUUCUGAGAGAAGACGAAGAGGGAGAGAGAAAAUGACAGGAAAAAUAAUGGAGAGAGAAGGAGAUUGGAGGCGAUCUGAGAGAAGAAGAGGAGGGAUAGAGAAAAUGAUAGGAGAAAUAAUGGAGAAAGAAGGAGAUUGGAAAGAAAAUAAAUUUGUGUGGGAGAGAAAGAAAACGUGUAGAAUGAGAGAGAAUUAGAUUGGAGAGAAGAAAUAUUUCUGAUUUUUGAAAGAUGAAACACCUCACCUGAUUUAAGAAUUGAGAUCUUAAAUAGUAGAGUGAGCUGUAAUUUCCACAUUUUUAAUUGACCCCAUUGAACCCUUAAUUUUUAACAAUUGACCCCAUUGGAUUCUUAAUUUUUAACAUUGAUAAAAAAUCCAUAUAUAGAUUAAUAGUAGCCCAUAAAUUUAACCCAAGUAACAUUAAAAAAAUCCCAAAUGUUCCCUUCCAGUUCCCGGCUUCUCCAGAUUCUCAAGCCCUGUGAAGUGCGAACGAACCUGUGUGUGCAACGACGAUGCGAUUUCUUCAGCUUUAUUCCAAUCUCUGGACUCCGAUUCACGAUAUUUUGAAAGAGGAAGAAGAAGAUUGAAGAAGCAAAAUUAGGUCAGUGAGAGUUCCAAUUUCGUCCAAUCAUCCUUUAGACUAGUGAAGACAUAUGAUUCACCAUUAGAUCCAUUCCUUGUAUUCGUAAAUACCUUAACUAUAUGCUUUGUCUGCUUUGAGCCAAGAUGACUAGUAUGCUUUAGAGUGGCGGACUUGAGACAUUCGUAAAUACCUUAACUAUAUGCUUUGUCUGCUUUGAGCCAAGAUGACUAGUAUGCUUUAGAGUGGCGGACUUGGGACUUCACCUUAUAUUUAAUCUUUGUUUAACGAAAUUGAGUAGUUCACUUGAAUGAGUUUGAAAAAUAGCGUCUGAUGAAUGAUGAUUAUACCAAUUUCAACUUGAUUUGGAAUUAAGGCAUAAUGGAAUAUUUUGCCCCUCUUAGUAUUA